AAAAUUUUUUUAACACUGUUCAUCUUUUCUAAUAAAAGUUGUUAGCAGUUAUUUUCAAUACAUUACUUUUUUUUGUUGUAACUACCAC